CACAAUUUCAAGAAAAAAAAAAAAACUGCUAAUCCAAACAAUUUCUUUCUUAAAAAAGAGCACCUGCAUUUCUUACAAUGUCUUACCCACUUGUGCCCAUCACUCAAGCUGUCAGUGUUUGUUUAAAAAACUAAGAGAAAUGCACAUGAAGACAUUGUGUCCUCUGUCCUGCUGUAGAGCUCCCCAACCCAGUUCCCAUCCAGUGCGGAGGAGGACACAUCCAACAAGCCUAAUCAAGCGACCAAACCAAAAGAGUUAUUGAAAAAAGAUGUGGUUAAACUGGAGGACAAGCUCAGGAGAGAAAGACUGAGUCUUAAAGAGCUCAAGGAAAGAAGACAGCAGAAAAGUCAAGAUUCUACACAGGAAUUGAAUUCCAAGUGCUGCGAUGUAAAGAAACCUCAGCCUCAGCCACGCUCUCCCCAAACAUGCGACAAGUCAGAUCUGCCCAGUUCUGUCUUAGUUUCUUCGUCUUCUUCUCCAUGUUCCACA
rnacentral:lncRNA from 1 species